rnacentral:sRNA from 16 species
UGACCACUCCAUCUGGAGUCGAGGCCAUACGGACAGCCGGGUCAAAUGCCGA